ACAAAAAUUAUUAUAGAAAAUAUAUAUAGUUUAUUUAAUUAUUUUACUAUAAUAUGGUAUAUAUAUUGUUGACAAAGCAUCACUAUCAACUGAACUCCCAUCUAAAUCGUUUUUUUUCGUAAGUAAUGGUUUAUCGUUGCUUAAAAAUAUACAUUAAAUUAUCUAUACAGUGAAUGCACCCGUCCUCAUUAUCCAGUGUCUUUUUUUUAAUUUUAUGUACUUC